rnacentral:rRNA from 1 species
CGUGUAGGCGGUCCAGCAAGUCGGGUGUGAAACCCCUAGGCUCAACCUGGGAAGUGCAUUCGAUACUGUUGGACUGGAGUCCCGGAGAGGAUGGUGGAACUCUCGGUGUAGAGGUGAAAUUCGUAGAUAUCGGGAAGAACAUCGGUGGCGAAGGCGGCCAUCUGGACGGUGACUGACGCUGAGACGCGAAAGCGUGGGGAGCAAACAGGAUUAGAUACCCUGGUAGUCCACGCUGUAAACGAUGAGUGCUAGGUGUCACGGGUAUUGACCCCUGUGGUGCCGAAGCUAACGCAUUAAGCACUCCGCCUGGGGAGUACGGCCGCAAGGCUAAA